ensembl:ncRNA F14D12.8 ncRNA
AUAGAGUCGAAUGACCCAUUCUUCUUUUCUUCUAAACGACGCGUGCCGGCAUUCGAACAAUAUCUAUCUUAAACACUUUUUUUGAAUUUCCAUACCUGCGGAGCAGCGGACGGCCACUGGUGGUUGUGGUGCUCGGGCCGGAACCUGCUU